GACGAACGCUGGCGGCGUGCUUAACACAUGCAAGUCGAACGGAAAGGCCUGCUUUCCCUUGUGGAUUGCGGGUACUCGAGUGGCGAACUGGUGAGUAACACGUGAGUGAUCUGCCCCCAACUUGGGUAUAAGCCUGGGAAACUGGGUCUAAUUCCCGAUAGUACCGCAGGGUGGUGCCUGUGGUUGAAAACGAUUUUCUAGUGGUUGGGGAUGAGCUCGCGGCCUAUCAGCUUGUUGGUGGGGUAAUGUCCGUCCAAGGCGGGGACGGGUAGCCAGUCUGCGAGGGUGGACGGCCACAUUGGGACUGAGAUACGGCCCAGACUGAUAGGGGAGGCAGGAGUGGGGCAUCUUGCGCAAUGGGAGGGAGCCUGAUGCAGCGACGCCGCGGGGGGGAUGACGGCCUUCGGGUUGUAAACUCCUUUCGACCGCGAGGAAGCCACCUGGUUGGAAGGGUGGUGACGGUAGUGGUAGAAGAAGCACCGGCUAACUACGUG
rnacentral:rRNA from 1 species